rnacentral:sRNA from 1 species
GCUGGGUGUGGUGGUGCUCGACCUGUAAUCCCAGUGGCCUGGAGGCUGAGGAAGGAGGAUCACGAGUUCAAAGCCAGCCUCAACAAAAAGCAAAAUGCUAAGCAACUCAGUGAGACCCUCUCUCUA